GAUGAACGCUAGCGAUAGGCCUAACACAUGCAAGUCGAGGGGCAUCACAUGAAGUAGCAAUACGGAUGGUGGCGACCGGCGCACGGGUGAGUAACACGUAUGCAACCUGCCUUCAACAAGGGGAUAACCCGUUGAAAGACGGACUAAUACCCUAUAACACAGGGGUCCCGCAUGGGAAUAUUUGUUAAAGGACAACCGGUUGAAGAUGGGCAUGCGUUCCAUUAGCUAGUUGGCGGGGUAACGGCCCACCAAGGCAACGAUGGAUAGGGGAACUGAGAGGUUUAUCCCCCACACUGGUACUGAGACACGGACCAGACUCCUACGGGAGGCAGCAGUGAGGAAUAUUGGUCAAUGGACGCAAGUCUGAACCAGCCACGUCGCGUGAAGGAAGACGGCCCUACGGGUUGUAAAGCUCUUUCGGACGGAAAGAAAUCGCCGCCUCUAACAUAGGCGGUGGAUGACGGUACCGUAAGAAGAAGCACCGGCUAACUACGUGCCAGCAGCCGCGGUAAAUACGC
rnacentral:rRNA from 1 species